GGAGAGGUGGCUGAGUGGUCGAUAGCGGCGGUCUUGAAAACCGUUGACCCGAAAGGGUCCGGGGGUUCGAAUCCCUCCCUCUCCGCCA
rnacentral:tRNA from 1 species